rnacentral:rRNA from 1 species
UAGGGAAUAUUGCACAAUGGAGGAAACUCUGAUGCAGCGACGCCGCGUGAGUGAUGAAGGACUUCGGUUCGUAAAGCUCUGUUGCAGGGGAAUAACACAAUGAAGGUACUCUGCGAGAAAGGGUCGGCUAACUUCGUGCCAGCAGCCGCGGUAAGACGAGGGACCCUAGCGUUGUUCGGAAUCAUUGGGCGUAAAGCGGGUGUAGGUGGCUUUGUAAGUCAGGUGUGAAAGCCCGGGGCUUAACCUCGGAAGUGCAUUUGAUACUGCGAAGCUUGAGUGGUGGAGAGGUUACUGGAAUUCCUGGUGUAGUGGUGAAAUACGUAGAUAUCAGGAGGAAUACCGGAGGCGAAGGCGGGUAACUGGCCACACACUGACACUCAGACCCGAAAGCGUGGGGAUC